CCUUCAUGAAGUCGGAAUUGCUAGUAAUGGCAGGUCAGCAUACUGCCGUGAAUACGUUCCCGGGCCUUGUACACACCGCCCGUCACACCAUGAGAGUUGGAGAUACCCGAAGCCUAUGUCAAAGUGGUCGAAGGUAGGCUUGAUGAUUGGGGUGAAGUCGUAACAAGGUAAC
rnacentral:rRNA from 1 species